CCUACGGGAGGCAGCAGUCGGGAAUAUUGCGCAAUGGAGGAAACUCUGACGCAGUGACGCCGCGUAUAGGAAGAAGGUUUUCGGAUUGUAAACUAUUGUCGUUAGGGAAGAGAAAGGACAGUACCUAAGGAGGAAGCUCCGGCUAACUACGUGCCAGCAGCCGCGGUAAUACGUAGGGAGCGAGCGUUAUCCGGAAUUAUUGGGUGUAAAGGGUGCGUAGACGGGAGAACAAGUUAGUUGUGAAAUACCUCGGCUCAACUGAGGAACUGCAACUAAAACUGUACUUCUUGAGUGCAGGAGAGGUAAGUGGAAUUCCUAGUGUAGCGGUGAAAUGCGUAGAUAUUAGGAGGAACACCAGUGGCGAAGGCGACUUACUGGACUGUAACUGACGUUGAGGCACGAAAGUGUGGGGAGCAAACAGGAU
rnacentral:rRNA from 1 species